GCUUACGGCCAACACCAACACUGAACACGCCUGAUCUCGUCUGAUCUCGAAGCUAAGCAGGGCCGGGCCUGGUUAGUACUUGGAUGGGAGACCGCCUGGGAAUACCAGGUGCUGUAAGUU
rnacentral:rRNA from 1 species